GCCCCGUUCGUCUAGCGGCCCAGGACGUAGCCCUCUCAAGGCUAAAACACGGGUUCGAGUCCCGUACGGGGCA
rnacentral:tRNA from 1 species